rnacentral:rRNA from 1 species
GCCAGCGGCUAUAUUACCCUGCAACUCACAACUGGCAGCCCACUAAAGCUAAGCAGGUGUGAGCUUGGCCAGUACCUAGAUAGAUGGGAGACCUCCUGGGAAAGUUAAGGUUGCUGCUGGAA